AAAUUGAAGAGUUUGAUCAUGGCUCAGAUUGAACGCUGGCGGCAGGCCUAACACAUGCAAGUCGAACGGUAACAGGAAGAAGCUUGCUUCUUUGCUGACGAGUGGCGGACGGGUGAGUAAUGUCUGGGAAACUGCCUGAUGGAGGGGGAUAACUACUGGAAACGGUAGCUAAUACCGCAUAACGUCGCAAGACCAAAGAGGGGGACCUUCGGGCCUCUUGCCAUCGGAUGUGCCCAGAUGGGAUUAGCUAGUAGGUGGGGUAACGGCUCACCUAGGCGACGAUCCCUAGCUGGUCUGAGAGGAUGACCAGCCACACUGGAACUGAGACACGGUCCAGACUCCUACGGGAGGCAGCAGUGGGGAAUAUUGCACAAUGGGCGCAAGCCUGAUGCAGCCAUGCCGCGUGUAUGAAGAAGGCCUUCGGGUUGUAAAGUACUUUCAGCGGG
rnacentral:rRNA from 1 species